AACGAACGCUGGCGGCGUGCCUAACACAUGCAAGUCGCGCGAGAACGGGGGGCGAACUCCCUACGUAAAGACGGCGCACGGGUGGAGUAACACGUAGGUAACCUACCCUCGAGUCCAGGAUAACCUACCGAAAGGUGGGCUAAUACCGGAUAUGACCACGGGAGCUUCGGCUCCUGCGGUGAAAGGUGGCCUCUGCUUGCAAGCCACUGCUCGGAGAUGGGCCUGCGCGCCAUAGUCUAGUUGGUGGGGUAACGGCUCACCAAGGCGAUGAUGGCUAG
rnacentral:rRNA from 1 species